AUUUUCUAAGAUUCUCUCAUUCUCCUGUUAAAAUAGAAAGGAAAAAGAAUGUCACUGUAAUUUUCUAUUUUGACACCCAAGUGGAGCCACAGAUCGAGACCAACAAGCUUAAUAGAGAGAACCCACUUCUGUUUCUGCAUUAUUUUUUUUCUUUCCCUGUCUUCGUCAUUAACUCUAUAAUGUAAUGUAAGGUUGGUUGGUGUUUCUUGUAAUAAGAGCCUGCGAGAGUGGGCUAAGGCUCAGACAGAGAGAGCUGCGGGCUUUGUGGGUUUGGAGUGAUGAGAGAAGAAGAUAGGUUUAUUCUGUGAGAGUGUGAGUUGAGUAUCAACUUCAAGGCUUCUGCCUUCUAGUGUAGCUUCAUGGAAACCAAAGGAAGACUCAUUGCAGGUUCUCAUAAGAGAAAUGAGUUUAUUCUCAUCAAUGCUGAUGAGACUGCAAGAGUGACUUCUGUUAAAGAACUGAGUGGGCAAAUUUGCAAGAUCUGUGGUGAUGAGAUAGAGGUUACAGUAGAUGGGGAGCCAUUUGUUGCUUGCAAUGAAUGUGCAUUCCCUGUUUGUAGACCCUGCUAUGAGUUUGAAAGAAGAGAGGGAAACCAAGCCUGUCCUCAAUGCAAAACCAGAUACAAGCGUAUCAAAGGGAGUCCUAGAGUUGAAGGGGAUGAAGAAGAGGAGGAUACAGAUGAUUUGGAGAAUGAAUUUGAUAUUUCUGCCGACGGCAGGAGAGACCCUCAUCACAUUACAGAGGCUAUGCUCUCUGCUCGCCUUAACAUUGGCCAGGGUUCACAAGCCAAUGUUUUGGGGUUUGUUACACCAUCUGAGGUUGAUUCUGUUUCUGUAGCUCCUGAGAUUCCUCUUGUGACUUACUAUGAAGAGGAUAUUGCGAUUUCCUCUGACAAGCAUGCUGUUAUUAUACCCCCAAUUCGUGGAAAACGGAUUCAUCCAAUGCCAUUACUUGACACUUCAAUGUCUACACAACCAAGAGCUAUGGAUCCUAACAAAGACUUGGCAGUGUAUGGAUAUGGAACAAUUGCAUGGAAGGAGAGAGUGGAGGAGUGGAAGAAAAAGCAGAGCAAAAAACUUCAAGUGGUUAAGCACCAAGGGGAAAAGGAUGGUGGAAACAAUGUUGGUGAUGAGUUGGAUGAUCCUGAUUUACUCAUGAUGGAUGAAGGAAGACAGCCUCUUUCAAGGAAGUUACCAAUUCCUUCAAGCAAGAUAAAUCCAUACAGAUUGAUAAUUUUACUCCGGCUUGUGAUUCUUGGCCUCUUUUUUCACUAUAGAAUUCUCCAUCCUGUCAGUGAUGCUUAUGGAUUGUGGCUAACAUCAAUAAUUUGUGAAAUAUGGUUUGCCGUAUCAUGGAUAUUUGAUCAAUUUCCAAAAUGGUACCCAAUUGAACGUGAAACAUAUCUUGAUCGAUUAUCGUUGAGGUAUGAAAAAGAGGGGAAGCCAUCUGAGUUAGCUGCUGUAGACAUAUUUGUUAGUACAGUUGAUCCAUUGAAAGAA
rnacentral:misc_RNA from 1 species